AACCUUCCUUUAACUGGAGAAUAGCCCCUCGAAAGAGGGAUUAAUACUCCGUAACAUAUACAUGUGGCAUCACAAGUAUAUUAUAGCUCCGGCGGUUAAAGAUGGGCGUGCGCCUGAUUAGAUAGUUGGCGGGGUAACGGCCCACCAAGUCUGCGAUCAGUAACUGGUAUGAGAGCACGACCAGUCACACGGGCACUGAGACACGGGCCCG
rnacentral:rRNA from 1 species